rnacentral:rRNA from 1 species
GAUGAACGCUAGCUACAGGCUUAACACAUGACAAGUCGAGGGGCAUCAGGAAGAAAGCUUGCUUUCUUUGCUGGCGACCGGCGCACGGGUGAGUAACACGUAUCCAACCUGCCUUUACUCGGGGAUAGCCUUUCGAAAGAAAGAUUAAUACCCGAUAGCAUAAUGAUUCCGCAUGGUUUCAUUAUUAAAGGAUUCCGGUAAAGGAUGGGGAUGCGUUCCAUUAGGUUGUUGGUGAGGUAACGGCCCACCAAGCCUUCGAUGGAUAGGGGUUCUGAGAGGAAGGUCCCCCACAUUGGAACUGAGACACGGUCCAAACUCCUACGGGAGGCAGCAGUGAGGAAUAUUGGUCAAUGGGCGAGAGCCUGAACCAGCCAAGUAGCGUGAAGGAUGACUGCCCUAUGGGUUGUAAACUUCUUUUAUAAAGGAAUAAAGUCGGGUAUGGAUACCCGUUUGCAUGUACUUUAUGAAUAAGGAUCGGCUAACUCCGUG